GCUUUACACAUGCAAGUCGAACGGCAGCACGGGCUUCGGCCUGGUGGCGAGUGGCGAACGGGUGAGUAAUAUAUCGGAACGUACCCAAGAGUGGGGGAUAACGUAGCGAAAGUUACGCUAAUACCGCAUACGAUCUAAGGAUGAAAGUGGGGGAUCGCAAGACCUYRUGCUCCUGGAGCGGCCGAUAUCUGAUUAGCUAGUUGGUGAGGUAAAGGCUCACCAAGGCGACGAUCAGUAGCUGGUCUGAGAGGACGACCAGCCACACUGGAACUGAGACACGGUCCAGACUCCUACGGGAGGCAGCAGUGGGGAAUUUUGGACAAUGGGCGCAAGCCUGAUCCAGCAAUGCCGCGUGAGUGAAGAAGGCCUUCGGGUUGUAAAGCUCUUUUGUCAGGGAAGAAACGGUAGAGGCUAAUAUCCUUUGCUAAUGACGGUACCUGAAGAAUAAGCACCGGCUAACUACGUGCCAGCAGCCGCGGUAAUACGUAGGGUGCAAGCGUUAAUCGGAAUUACUGGGCGUAAAGCGUGCGCAGGCGGUUUUGUAAGUCUGUCGUGAAAGCCCCGGGCUCAACCUGGGAAUUGCGAUGGAGACUGCAAGGCUUGAAUCUGGCAGAGGGGGGUAGAAUUCCACGUGUAGCAGUGAAAUGCGUAGAGAUGUGGAGGAACACCGAUGGCGAAGGCAGCCCCCUGGGUCAAGAUUGACGCUCAUGCACGAAAGCGUGGGGAGCAAACAGGAUUAGAUACCCUGGUAGUCCACGCCCUAAACGAUGUCUACUAGUUGUCGGGUUUUAAUUAACUUGGUAACGCAGCUAACGCGUGAAGUAGACCGCCUGGGGAGUACGGUCGCAAGAUUAAAACUCAAAGGAAUUGACGGGGACCCGCACAAGCGGUGGAUGAUGUGGAUUAAUUCGAUGCAACGCGAAAAACCUUACCUACCCUUGACAUGUCAG
rnacentral:rRNA from 1 species